GCACUGCUGAGGAGUCGCAUAUUAGGACGAAACGGCCGUUCAGUGC
rnacentral:hammerhead_ribozyme from 1 species